rnacentral:rRNA from 1 species
AGAGCGAACGCUGGCGGCAGGCUUAACACAUGCAAGUCGAGCGGAUGUAGCAAUACAUCAGCGGCAGACGGGAUAGUAACACGUGGGAACGCGCCCUUUGGUUCGGAAUAACUCAGGGAAACUUGAGCUAAUACCGGAUAAGCCCUUACGGGGAAAGAUUUAUCGCCAAAGGAACGGCCCGCGUCCGAUUAGCUAGUUGGUGAGGUAAUGGCUCACCAAGGCGACGAUCGGUAGCUGGUCUGAGAGGAUGACCAGCAUCACUGGGACUGAGACACGGCCCAGACUCCUACGGGAGGCAGCAGUGGGGAAUAUUGGACAAUGGGCGCAAGCCUGAUCCAGCCAUGCCGCGUGGAUGAUGAAGGCCCUAGGGUUGUAAAGUCCUUUUAACGGGGAAGAUAAUGACGGUACCCGUAGAAUAAGCCCGGCUAACUUCGUGCCAGCAGCCGC